rnacentral:misc_RNA from 1 species
GUAUAAGUUUUUUUAUCAACGCUUUUUUAAGGCGAGGACAUCAAUUUACAUUCUAUUACACAUGGGGGUUGGUGAUAAGACGUAGGGGCCUUUUUUACCGGGCCCUUACAUUAGGUUCACAGGUGUGUGUGGAUUAAAGGCUCGGGCGUGCACGUGCCCCGAAAGGCCAGCUACAACCCUAACCGCUAAUUCGAUAAUGAUCCUUCCGCAGGUUCACCUACGGAAA